AGAAUCAUGUCUAGUAGCCAAGGAUGACUUGCCUAGUUAAACCCAUUCUUGGGACUUUGUCUUAUAUGAAUAUGAUGAAGUUCCUUGUUUGGUUUAUUAUUUGGCAAGCAUCUAUGGCUUGUUGACUGUCUCU